rnacentral:lncRNA from 1 species
GUAGCAUUGGCUGAUUCCGUAAAGAAAUCUUGUUUUAAAUACUGAUCUUCUAAUAAUCUCAUGACGUGUCACAAGCUAGUUUAGAAUUUUCAGAAUAAUUUCACUUCAAAAUUCAUUGUGGUGGCUUCUUUUUCUUUCAGUUUGUCUCAUUGUUUUCUUCCUGUAGAUAUUUCCAGAGUCCAAAUGACCAUGAAGCCCACAGUUCAGCAUAUCAGUUUCCACCUUCAAGAGAGGUCACUGGUGUGGUUUGUACCAUUGUCACUGUUUCUUGCACCAACCCAGAAACCUUUGAAUACUUGAAAUUCCCCAAAAGGCAGUUCCAACAAGGACAGCCUACAGUGGCCCCUACACCAGAAGGAUCUACUACGACCACAGCAAAGGCACCCACAACCACCCCAGCAGACAACUCCACUUCAACUGAACUUACUACCGUAAUGCCCACUACCACCUUGUCACCUGAAUAUGCAACCAACACAGUUUCAACUGAACCUACAAAUAUAACUACCAUAGUGGCGACCAUAGUGGAAGUUACUACCAUAGCGGCGACUCCCAGAAUUUCAACUGAUCCUGUUCCUACAGUGGAUGCCACCACCACCCAGACUGAAUCCACCAUUUGAGUUGAGCAUAAUACCAGCACAAUGGUUAUAGCCACAUCAACAGAAAUUAUAAGUAGCAUUCCUCCAACAGACUUGGCAACAAUAAUCACUUCAAUAGAACGUAUACCCCCUGAACCCAUGACCUUUGCAACUUCUUCUGAGCCUGCUUCAACAGCCAUCCUUGCUUCACAUGAACCUGUAAAUAUCACCUCUUUGGUUAAUCCUGUGACCCAUUUCAUGGCAGGUGCUUCACCUCAACUAAUGACCACAAGAGAAAUGACCACUUCCAGUGAGUGAGGAAACACUGCAAUUUCUGCUGAAUCUACUGCUGUUAUAAAUACCAUCGCCUUUUCAUUUGAAAUUAUAAUACAUGCAUCCCCUGAACCUAAAAACACUACAAUUUCUACUGAUCCCGCUACACCUAGAAAUAGAACAACCACUUCAGCUGAAACUACAAACAUUAGAAGCCAGACUUCCACUUCUGCUAAACCCUUAGCCGCAGCACCAACUAUCCUUGAAGUGAACCUAAACCUUCUACCCGAUCCACUGAGAUUGCAACCAGAAAAGUCCUUCCUACUUAAACUGAAGCUAUAGAUACCACUAAAUGUGUAUAGAUCCAAAUACAAGGACCAGAAUUUCAAUUAGAUUUAUAGCCACUCACACUUGAAAAAAAAAAAAUAACCACUCACACCUUUGUCAGGAGCUCCUAUUAAGAUAAACGACCCUUCAACAGAAUUUAUAACCCUUUAUAACGUGAAUCUGGAACCCCCGUAAGUGUAAUCGCUUCAGUUGAAGCUACAUCCACAAUGGCAACUAAUACUUCAGCUGACUUUACAAUCACUGCCGUGACAGCCAACACAACCAUCACUUCUCAGCUCUCUAUAGCCAGUACUUGAGGCAAACCUAUAAUUUUCAUACUUUAAAUUUACAACCAUACUGGACAUCACUGAUUGCCUUCUCUUCAAGUCAUUUCAAUCACACACACACACACACACACACACACACACACACACACUCUUUUAAAAAUGAAGCUGGAGACAUAGGUGCUUAAUAAAUAUCUGUUCCAUGUUGUUCA